CCCAGGAGCUGCACCUCCUCUGAAGAAAUGGCCUUGUUCCAGGCAGCAAAACUGCUGUGGGAAGUCAGGAAAGGCCGGGUGAAGCGCUGGGCUCUCUGAAGCUAGCACUUUUGGAAUCAAGUUCGCCCUGGAAGUGGGCUGUGCCUCAUCUUCGCACUCAGACUCUGAUACAGCUCGGAUAUCUGUCCUCUCCAACUCUCAUGUUGAAAUGUUGGGGGUGCGGCCAGUGGGAGGCAUCUGGGUCCUGGGAGCAGAUCUCUCGUGAAGGGCUUGGUGCUGUCCUUGCAGUAAUGGGGGUAAUGAGUGGGUCCUCAUUCUAUCAGUUCAUGUGAGACCUAGUUAUUUAAAAGAGCCUGGAACACACCCCCCACCCCCCACCCAUACUCUCUUUCUCACCAUGUGACACGCCUGCUCCCCUCCCCUGCCUUCAGCCAAGAAUAAAAGCCUCCUGAGGCCUCACCAGAA